AGUCUGUUCGUAAGAUUGAGACUCGUGUUCCCCCUAUGGUCAAGCAGGCUCCUGCAGCAGCUCGCUCCGUGGCAGCCGAUGUCAAAAGUGCUGGUGUGAUAGGAGCUGCAUCAGGACUUGCAAAAACAGUCUAUGCCAAGUACGAGCCUGCUGCCAAGGGACUUUACACCAAGUACGAACCAAUGGCCGAGCAAUAUGCAGCUUCAGCUUGGCUCUCUCUUAACCGACUUCCCGUCGUUCCUAAAGUUACUCAAGCAGUUGCUCCAACAGCUGCUUACUAUUCUGGGAAGUACAAUGAGAUUGUCCAGCAAUCUGCAGAGAAAGGGU
rnacentral:lncRNA from 1 species